ACGAACGCUGGCGGCGUGCCUAAUACAUGCAAGUCGCGGGAGAAAGUCGGGGCAACCCGGCGAGUAAACCGGCGAAAGGGUGCGUAACAUAUCGCUAACGUACCCUCCGGAGGGGGACAACCUCUCGAAAGAGGGGCUAAUACCCCGUAACAUGGCGGACCGGCAUCGGUCUGUCAUCAAAGCUGGUGGAAACACCGGCGCCGGUGGAGCGGGCGAUGCCCUAUCAGCUAGUUGGCGGGGUAACGGCCCACCAAGGCUUUGACGGGUAGCCGGACUGAGAGGUCGACCGGCCACACGGGGACUGAGACACGGCCCCGACGCCUACGGGCGGCAGCAGUAGGGAAUAUUGCGCAAUGGGCGAAAGCCUGACGCAGCGACGCCGCGUGGAGGACGAAGGCCUUCGGGUUGUAAACUCCUUUCAUGAGGGACGAACACUGACGGUACCUUAGGAAGAAGCACCGGCUAACUCCGU
rnacentral:rRNA from 1 species